GCUACAGCAGCUUGCGGCAAAGGCUGCUCCAGAAAGAGCAUCCGCAUCACCCAGUUCUUAGCCAAAGAUGGGAGCUCCCUGUAAGGCAGGAGAGGGAAACUGUUAAUAUCAGAGCUGCCUGAGAACUGCAUCCCUGCUCUCAAUGGCCUCAAACACCUCACCUCACCCCCCACACUUUCACCAGUCUUGCUGCCCCCACUACCUCCAUCUGGUUUGGCACACUUCAAUCUCCAAGCCCACCAGGGCUAAGCUUCUACCCACGAGAACUUAUUCCAGCCUGCAGGCCUUAUUACAUUUCCCCACCAUGGUCCCUGCCAUGAAGGGUGUCCUCACCUGAAGACAGCCAGACAGGUGGCAGGGUGCCCAUACAAUCGGUCCAAUACCCCAGGGCUCAGGCUCCCUAGGAAUUCCUGCAGGUUCCUGCAUUGUAGGUGUACUCGACUCAGUCCACCCCUGGAAAGGGUGCUCUCCAUCACCUGAAAGGUGCAAGUGUUAGCGUUCCCCCACAGUCCAUGCCAGUAUUGCCCCUCAACUUUCUCACUCCGGCUCCAGAGCCACGGGCCCCCACAAAAACGCAUCUUUUCUAUGGUUUCCUUUCUCAUGUCACUCAUCUCCUCUUGUUUCUCCCAAAUCUGACCAACCUCCCCUCUUUCCUGCCUCCUCGCCCCACUGCUGGCCUCAACUCCAGUCUUCUCUAAAUUUCUAGAUGGCAGAAUUGUUAACUGUCCCAUAUUUGCAAACUUUGUAUUUCAAUGACUUGUCUCAUCUUUACCUAAGCAGUGACAAAGAGACUUGUUGGAGGCCAACCCUCUCUCCCUUCUACCUCUCCUGGUCUGAGCAGCCUAUAAGCUCCAAAUCUGUCCGUUCUUUCCAUCUAUUUCUUGGCCCCAUUUCUCGUGCUGGGCACGGCAAUAACUACCUUACCCCUCCAUGUCUCCCAAAUCCAAUUCCACCUCUUUCCUCUUCCCGCCCCCAAGACUACUUCACCCCAUUCAGCCUGACCCACACCGCUUGAUCUCCUAACUUGUCCCCUACUUUCCUCCCAGUCCUUGCCUCUCAUUCAACUCUCUCCCUCUUAUACCUCCGCCACCGCUUCUCUCCCAGCCCCCUUACCACUCAGUGUCGAUCCUCCCUCGUGCACUCCAAGUCUCGUCGCUUAAACGGAACCAAUGUCUCUCAUUGGCUCCGGGGAAUAGGGAAAAGGAUGGCGGAAAGUGAGAGGAAAAAAUGGGAGAGGGACGAAGGAUUUCACCGACAGGAGACCAGAGUGGAGGAUGCAGAAAAGAAGGGAAGGAGUGGAGAAGCAGGGAGGACAAGAGUCGGCGCUGCGCCCGCCGGCCGCAGGGCAUACUGGGAAUUGGAGUCUUGUCUUUCCCCACCCGGGGGCAAGCUGAAGCGCGUCUGACUACAACUCCCAAAAGGCACCGCGGGGAAGCCUAGAGGGGAGAGGCUGGCUUUUACUUCAGAGAGUCGAGGGCACCAGAGGUUGGGCCGCUUUGUUCCGCGUAGCUCUCCGCCUUCUCGGCCAACGGCAAAUCUAACCGACCUGAGCUGGAGUGGGGACGCUGGGAGUAGAAAUGCCCUGAGAGCUUCCUGGCGGAGGUGCAGAAAAGACAUGGUGGUAAGGCGCUUGAGUUUGGAGACGCACGAAACUGGGUUCUUUGAGCUCAGUUGCUCCCCGUGAAAUCGGAAUAAUGCGCUUUCCAGAGCAUUUUCUCGAAUUAGGAGUUAAUUCGAUCCAGUGCGCCUUCCUCGGCACACUAGAAGACGGAAGCUCAAUGAGAUUAAGAAAUUUGCCCACAGCCAGACAUCUAGAAAGUGCCCGAACUGGGAGUUGAAGUUCAUUUGCCAGUGACCAGGAAUCAAAAUGACCCAGGGAUGGUAGCCGCUCUGCAGUGACCAGGCCUGGGGAACUGCACUGCUUCUCGUGAUGUACGUACACCCUGCC